rnacentral:rRNA from 1 species
CCGCGGGAUUAGAGUUUGAUCCUGGCUCAGGACGAACGCUGGCGGCGUGCAUAACACAUGCAAGUCACGGGGGUCAGUAGCAAUACUGAUAACCGGCGAACGGGUGCGUAACACGUAAGCGACCUACCUCGAUGUGGGGCAUAGCCGGCCUAACGGCCGGGUAAUUCCGCAUGUGAUCCUUGAGGGGCAUAUCUCGGGGAUGAAACCAGUAAUGGGCAUUGAGAGGGGCUUGCGGCCUAUCAGCUUGUUGGCGGGGUAACGGCUCACCAAGGCGACGACGGGUAGCUGGUCUGAGAGGAUGGCCAGCCACAUUGGGACUGAGAAACGGCCCAGACUCCUACGGGAGGCAGCAGUGGGGAAUCUUGCGCAAUGGCCUAACGGCUGACGCAGCGACGCCGCGUGAGGGAUGAAGCUCCUCGGAGUGUAAACCUCUGUUGCCCGGGACGAAUAGCGGAUUUUUCCGACUUGACGGUACCGGGUGAGGAAGCACCGGCUAACUCCGUGCCAGCAGCCGCGGUAAUACGGUGGGUGCGAGCGUUGUCCGGAAUCACUGGGCGUAAAGGGCGCGUAGGUGGCUCUGUAAGUUUGCGGUGAAAGCCCGGGGCUCAACCCCGGGUCUGCCGUGAAUACUGCAAGGCUUGAGUAGUGUAGAGGCAGGUAGAAUAUCGGGUGUAGCGGCGGAAUGCGUAGAGAUCCGAUAGAAGACCGGUGGCGAAGGCGGCCUGCUGGGCACUAACUGACACUGAGGCGCGACAGCGUGGGGAGCAAACAGGAUUAGAUACCCUGGUAGUCCACGCCGUAAACGAUGGGUACUAGGUGCUUCGGGGAGCGACCCCUGGAGUGCCGGCGCUAACGCAGGAAGUACCC